GCCUGGAUGACGGAACUGGCAUACGUGCCGGUCUUAGAAACCGGUUUUUGCGGGUUCGAAUCCCGCUCCGGGUA
rnacentral:tRNA from 1 species